rnacentral:rRNA from 1 species
GGGUUAGUAGGUUGGUCAUGCCUCUGGUAUGUACUGGUCUCACUGAUUCCUCCUUCCUGAUGAGCCGUAAUGCCAUUAAUUUGGUGUUGCGAGGAAUCUGGACUGUUACUUUGAAAAAAUUAGAGUGUUUAAAGCAGGCAUUUUGCUUGAAUACAUUAGCAUGGAAUAAUAAAAUAGGACGGCAUGAUUCUAUUUUGUUGGUUUCUAGGAUCACCGUAAUGAUUUAAUAGGGAUAGUUGGGCAAACAAC